UUUAAUGGCCGCGGUAUUUUGACCGUGCAAAGGUAGCAUAAUCAUUAGUUUUUUAAUUGAAAGCUGGAAUGAAAGGUUGAAUGAGAAAAUAACUGUCUUUAUUAUAUUUAAUUAGAAUUUUAUUUUUAAGUUAAAAAGCUUAAAUUUAAUUUAAAGACGAGAAGACCCUUUAGAGUUUUAUAAAGAAUUUGUUUUUGAUUUUUUAGAAUUAAUUAUAAUGAGGCAAUGUUUUAUUUGGUUGGGGCGAUUAAAAAAUUUAAUAAACUUUUUUUCUUACUUUACAUUAAUUUAUGAAUACUUGAUCCUUAAUUUAAGAUUAUAAGAUUAAAUUACCUAAGGGAUAACAGCGUUAUUUUUUUUGAGAGUUCUUAUCGAAAAAAAAGAUUGCGACCUCGAUGUUGGAUUAAAAUUAAAUUAUGGUGUAGAGGCUAUAACUUUAGGUCUGUUCGACCUUUAAAAUUUUACAUGAUCUGAGUUUAAACCGGUGUAAGCCAGGUUGGUUUCUAUCUUAAAUUUAUUAUAAUAUUUUAGUACGAAAGGACCAAAUAUUAUAUUUAUAAUAUUAAAAUUUGAAUAAAACUA
rnacentral:rRNA from 1 species